UACAGAGGUCUCAAGCGUUGUUCGGAUUCAUUGGGCGUAAAGGGUGCGUAGGCGGCGUGGUAAGUCGGGUGUGAAAUCUCGGAGCUUAACUCCGAAACUGCAUUCGAUACUGCCGUGCUUGAGGACUGGAGAGGAGAGUGGAAUUCCUGGUGUAGCGGUGAAAUGCGCAGAUAUCGAGGAAGAACACCCGUGGCGAAGGCGGCUCUCUGGGACGGUACUGGACGCUGAGACGCGAAAGCGUGGGGAGCGAACAGG
rnacentral:rRNA from 1 species